rnacentral:rRNA from 1 species
AUGCUAUGGGCAGCGCGCCUGUCCGGCUUCCUCUCCGCCGCCAUGCUCAUGGUGGUCUUGUCGCCGUCGCUGCAGUCCUUCCCGCCCGCCGAGGCCAUCCGGUCGUCGCAGUUCGACAGCCACGUCCGCUUCCCCGGCCAGAUCGCCGGGGGCGCGAGGGGCCUCCCCUUCCGCCGCGCGCCGUCCUUCCGCAAUGCCGCUGACUGCGGCAACGCCACCGGCAAUGUCUGCGACCCCUCGCUCGUCCACAUCGCGAUUACUCUGGACGAGGGCUACCUGAGGGGCUCGGUCGCCGCGGUCCAUUCCGUGGUCCAGCACGCCAUGUGCCCGGAGAGCGUCUUCUUCCACUUCCUCGUCUCCGACCCGAGCCUGGGCGACCUCGUCCGCGCCGUCUUCCCGCAGCUCCGGUUCAAAGUCUACUACUUCGACCCCGCGCGCGUCCGGGGGCUCAUCUCGUCGUCGGUGCGGCAGGCGCUGGAGGAGCCGCUCAACUACGCCCGCAACUACCUCGCCGACCUCCUGGAGCCCUGCGUGCGCCGCGUCAUCUACCUGGACUCCGACCUCGUGCUCGUCGACGACGUGGCCAAGCUCUGGCGCACCGACCUCGGCGGCCGCACCGUGGGCGCGCCGGAGUACUGCCACGCCAACUUCACCAAGUACUUCACCGACCGGUUCUGGUCGGAGGAGCAGUUCGCCGGGACGUUCGAGGGCAGGCGGCCGUGCUACUUCAACACCGGCGUGAUGGUGCUCGACCUGGCGCGGUGGCGGCGCGCGGGCUACACCCGGCGCAUCGAGCGGUGGAUGGAGAUACAGAAGUCGCCGCCUGGGCGCAUCUACGAGCUGGGGUCGCUGCCGCCGUUCCUGCUGGUGUUCGCGGGGCAGGUGGCGGCGAUCGAGCACCGGUGGAACCAGCACGGCCUGGGCGGCGACAACAUCCUGGGCAGCUGCCGCGACCUCCACCCGGGGCCGGUGAGCCUGCUGCAUUGGUCGGGGUCCGGCAAGCCGUGGGCGCGGCUGGGCGGCGGGCGGCCGUGCCCGCUGGACGCGCUCUGGGCGCCCUUCGACCUGUACGGCCCGGCCGCCGUGGAGCCGUCCCGGUAA